CCCUUAGAUGUUCUGGGCCGCACGCGCGCUACACUGAAGGAAUCAGCGUGGCUUUCUCCCUGACCCGAAAGGGUUGGGAAACCCGUUGAAUCUCCUUCGUGAUAGGGAUUGGGGCUUGAAAUUGUUCCCCAUGAACGAGGAAUUCCCAGUAAGCGCAAGUCAUCAACUUGCGUUGAUUACGUCCCUGCCCUUUGUACACACCGCCCGUCGCUACUACCGAUUGAAUGGUUUAGUGAGGCCUUCGGAUCCGCGACUCGUUUGUGGAGAAGUUGGACAAACUCAGUCAUUUAGAGGAAGUAAAAGUCGUAACA
rnacentral:rRNA from 1 species